rnacentral:rRNA from 1 species
AGGAGGGGCCCGCGUCGGAUUAGGUAGUUGGUGGGGUAACGGCCUACCAAGCCUGUGAUCCGUAGCUGGUCUGAGAGGAUGAUCAGCCACACUGGGACUGAGACACGGCCCAGACUCCUACGGGAGGCAGCAGUGGGGAAUAUUGGACAAUGGGCGCAAGCCUGAUCCAGCAAUGCCGCGUGAGUGAUGAAGGCCUUCGGGUUGUAAAGCUCUUUCGCACGCGAGGAUGAUGACGGUAGCGUGAGAAGAAGCCCCGGCUAACUUCGUGCCAGCAGCCGCGGUAAUACGAAGGGGGCGAGCGUUGUUCGGAUUUACUGGGCGUAAAGGGCGCGUAGGCGGUGCUCCAAGUCAGGCGUGAAAGCCCCGGGCUCAACCUGGGAAUUGCGCUUGGGACUGGAGGACUGGAGUUCGGGAGAGGAGCGUGGAAUUCCCAGUGUAGAGGUGAAAUUCGUAGAUAUUGGGAAGAACACCGGUGGCGAAGGCGGCGCUCUGGACCGAUACUGACGCUGAGGCGCGAAAGCGUGGGGAGCAAGCAGGAUUAGAUACCCUGGUAGUCCACGCUGUAAACGAUGUGUGCUAGACGUUGGGGGGCCUAGCUCCCCGGUGUCGCCGCUAACGCUUUAAGCACACCGCCUGGGGAGUACGGCCGCAAGGUUA